UGGAGUUUUUAUUGCAUUAGAUGCAUGUUAUUUUGUUCCUUCUAUUAUCAAAAAUAUUAUCUCUAUUUCAUGUUUAACAGUUAGUGGAUAUAAAUUUAUUUUUGAGAACAAUGGUUGUUCGAUAUUAUUAGAUGAUAAGAUCAUCACGAAAGGAACAUUGCAUAAUGGUUUAUUUAUGUUAGACACUACUCCACAUAUCAUGAAUGUAAAU
rnacentral:lncRNA from 1 species